rnacentral:rRNA from 1 species
CCCUUAGAUGUUCUGGGCCGCACGCGCGCUACACUGAUGAAUUCAACGAGCUCCUAACCUAGGCCGAAGGGUCCGGGUAAUCUUUGAAAUUUCAUCGUGAUGGGGAUAGAUUAUUGCAAUUAUUAAUCUUCAAUGAGGAAUUCCUAGUAAGCGCGAGUCAUCAGCUCGCGUUGAUUACGUCCCUGCCCUUUGUACACACCGCCCGUCGCUCCUACCGAUUGAAUGGUCCGGUGAAAUGUUCGGACCGCGACAAGGCGGACGGUUCGCUGUCAGCUUUGCUGCGGGAAGUUCAUUAAACCUUAUCAUUUAGAGGAAGGAGAAGUCGUAACA